UCCUACGGGAGGCAGCAGUAGGGAAUCUUCCGCAAUGGGCGAAAGCCUGACGGAGCGGCGCCGCGUGAGUGAUGAAGGUCUUCGGAUCGUAAAACUCUGUUAUUAGGGAAGAACAAAUGUGUAAGUAACUAUGCACGUCUUGACGGUACCUAAUCAGAAAGCCACGGCUAACUACGUGCCAGCAGCCGCGAUAAUACGUAGGUGGCAAGCGUUAUCCGGAAUUAUUGGGCGUAAAGCGCGCGUAGGCGGUUUUUUAAGUCUGAUGUGAAAGCCCACGGCUCAACCGUGGAGGGUCAUUGGAAACUGGAAAACUUGAGUGCAGAGGAGGAAAGUGGAAUUCCAUGUGUAGCGGUGAAAUGCGCAGAGAUAUGGAGGAACACCAGUGGCGAAGGCGACUUUCUGGUCUGUAACUGACGCUGAUGUGCGAAAGCGUGGGGAUCAAACAGGAUUAGAUACCCUGGUAGUCCACGCCGUAAACGAUGAGUGCUAAGUGUUAGGGGGUUUCCGCCCCUUAGUGCUGUAGCUAACGCAUUAAGCACUCCGCCUGGGGAGUACGACCGCAAGGUUGAAACUCAAAGGAAUUGACGG
rnacentral:rRNA from 1 species